UGAGUAAUGCCUAGGAAUCUGCCUGGUAGUGGGGGACAGCGUCUCGAAAGGGACGCUCAUACCGCAAACGUCCUACGGGAGAAAGCAGGGGACCUUCGGGCCUUGCGCUAUCACAUGAGCCUAGGUCGGAUUAUCUAGAUUGGUGAGGUAAUGGCUCACCAAGCGCGACGAUCCGUAACUGGUCUGAGAGGAUGAUCAGUCACACUGGAACUGAGACACGGUCCAGACUCCUACAGGAGGCAGCAAUGGGGAAUAUUGGACAAUGGGCGAAAGCCUGAUCCAGCCAUGCCGCGUGUGUGAAGAAGGUCUUCGGAUUGUAAAGCACUUUAAGUUGGGAGGAAGGGCAGUAAAUUAAUACUCUGCUAUUUUGACGUUACCGACAGAAUAAGCACCGGCUAACUCUGUGCCAGCAGCCGC
rnacentral:rRNA from 1 species